rnacentral:misc_RNA from 1 species
GUUGGGCAUUUUCAAGCGUAGCUCUAGUGCAGGGUAUUAACAAAAUCAAAACAACAGAAUUAGUGUCUCUACCCAAGCAGGAGGUAGUUGUAAACUUGUAAUGGAGGAUUAAUGGAAGAGGCAUUCAAGUUUAUUGGGAAUGGCAAUCUAGAGGAAAAUGAAGAAAAAGAAAGAGAUUGAGAAAAUGGGAGAUUUUUAUAUGGAUUAAUGGUUUUUAUUGUUUGGAAGGGGGCGAACACAUUUGGGGAAAAAAAUUAAAUCUCUCUUUUUGACCACUGAUUUCUCGUUGACUUGAUAGAAUCAAAAGAGUGGGACUAAAAAGGCAUUUUUGAAAACUCAGAGGUGGAAAUGUUAAUUUUGAUAUAACCCAGUGACAAAAAAGUAAUUUACCCAAAAAAUUACCAAGGCAAUUUGUUUCUCCCAUUAUUUCUCACUUCUU